AAUCUUAAUUAUGCUGAACUGAUUCAUAGUGCUCAUAAGGUCUACUAUCUCCUUUCUACUUGUCUAUCCAUUCUAUUAAUUUUUGAGAGUUUGAUACUGAAACUCCAACUAAAAAUCUUAAACUAUUUUAAAAAUAU